UCCCCGGUGGUGUAAUCGGCAACACACUAGAUUUUGGUUCUAGCAUUCAAGGUUCGAGUCCUUGCCGGGGAACCA
rnacentral:tRNA from 1 species